CAGAACCACGCGAGACGUCAGGACGAGAUGUUGUCAUUCUGUCUUCUCUUCUGCCCGCAUAGAGAUACGGCGGCUAAAUGCGUUAUUAAAGUUGCUCAUCCAAGCGCCUUCAUGUUUGUUCGUACCAAUUUUAAUGGACGGGAAGCCGACUGACGAACAUCCUUUUCCCGAGAAAUGGUUCGGCUACGAGUCGACACAUGUUAAGAAGUCACGCCAGGGGCUGAAUUAAGGUCGACCGUUUCAGCUGCAUUGAUGUGAAGUGAUGCAGUGGACAACUUGUGAGGGUGAUACCAUCCACAUGCAGCUUAACUGUGAUGCAGAAAUACAAUAGGAUGAUCCAUCUGUCUACACUUCAAAAUCACAAAACAACCCAUAUCUGUUAUGGUAAAACAAUGUGGCGGUUUUCCAGACAGGGCUUAUACUGUUCCCGGGCUAAAAUGCAUGUUUGAGCUACUGUAAUUAAGAAAACACCUUGUACUGACACAUCUCAACAUAUAUCAGUGCCAUUGUUUUGUUUCAAGAUGCACACCAGUCUUGUUUUUGUAAGGUUUGUUUGUAAAAACUAAAAUUUCCUAAUAUAAGUGCCCAGUCCUGGUUUAAUCUAAACCAUUGGUGACCAAACCUGUGCCUUGAGAUCUACUGUCCUGCAGAGUUCAGCUCCAACCCCAAUCAAACACACCUGAACCUGCCAAUCAAGCAUUUCAGGGCAACCUUAAAAUUAUAGUCAGGUGUGUUUGUUAAAGCUGGGUUAGAACUAAAAUAUGCAGGAGGGUAGAUCUCCAGGAACAGGGUGGGUCACCCCUGAUCUAAACAAAGGGUUUCCAAACUGUGUCCUGCUAAGUUUAGCUCUAACCCUAAUCAAACACACCUGAAGCAGCCAAUUAAUGUCCUACUAAGAAUACUAGAAACUUACUGGCAGGUGCUCUGAUGCAAGUUAGAGCUAAACUCUGCAGGACACCGACCCUCCAGGACUGAGUUUGGGCUCCCCUGACUAAGCCCUGUCUGGGAAACUGCACCAAUGUGUUAAGCUGGCACCAUUGGACAUUACUGCUGCUGAGAAACAACCACAUUUCUCAGCUCUACACAGGGUUGACAUUGGAUGAAUUAUUAUUAUAAAAUGCAUUCAUGUGCACUUUACCAAUACUGUACAUACAUCAACAGCUUCCAGCUAUACACUUGGGAUCAGCUCCUGAUGCCUCUCAUAAUGCUGUGUUAUAAUUUAUUGCAGGGUGAUCUUGCUAAAAGGAUAUUUUUAUAAACCUUUACAAUGUCACCAGAUGUUACCUGUUGUGAAUUAUUAUUUUAUAAACCUUUACAAUCUCACUAGUUGUUACAUGUUGUGGAUAGUUAUUUUUAUAAACCUUUACAAUCUCACUAGUUGUUACAUGUUGUGGAUAGUUAUUUUUAUAAACCUUUACAAUGUCACCAGUUGUUACAUGUUGUGCAUAGUUAUUUUUAUACACCUUUACAAUGUUACCUGUUGUGAAUAGUUAUUUGUAUAAACCUUCACAAUAUCACCAGAUGUUACCUGUUGUGAAUAAUUAUUUUAUAAACCUUUACAAUGUCACCAGUUGUUACAUGUUGUGCAUAGUUAUUUUUAUAAACCUUUACAAUGUCACCAGAUGUUACCUGUUGUGAAGGGUUAUUUUUAUACACCUUUACAAUGUUACCUGUUGUGAAUGGUUAUUUUAUACACCUUUACAAUGUUACCUGUUGUGAAUAGUUAUUUUUUAUAAACCUUUACAAUAUCACCAGAUGUUAUCUGUUAGUAGCCAUUUCUUAUAAAACCACGUGAGCUCUGUAGAUUCCUCUUAAAACUUAAAAUGAAUUAAGUUUGCAAGUGAAUUUCAUCUUGGUUUAAUACAUAUUAAACUGUCUGAGGUGCACAUUUACUUAAAAAAAAGACAAA